rnacentral:rRNA from 1 species
CCUCCGGGUGGCAGCAGUGAGGAAUAUUGGUCAAUGGACGAGAGUCUGAACCAGCCAAGUAGCGUGAAGGAUGACUGCCCUAUGGGUUGUAAACUUCUUUUAUAGGGGAAUAAAAUGUUCCACGUGUGGGAUGUUGUAUGUACCAUAUGAAUAAGGAUCGGCUAACUCCGUGCCAGCAGCCGCGGUAAUACGGAGGAGCCGAGCGUUAUGCGGAUUUAUUGGGUUGAAAGGGAGCGUAGGGGGAUUGUUAAGUCAGUUGUGAAAGUUUGCGGCUCAACCGUAAAAUUGCAGUUGAAACUUGCAGUCUUGAGUCCAGUUGCGGUGGGCGGAAUUCGUUGUGUAGCGG